AUUGAACGCUGGCGGCAUGCCUUACACAUGCAAGUCGAACGGUAACGCGGGGCAACCUGGCGACGAGUGGCGAACGGGUGAGUAAUACAUCGGAACGUGCCCAGUAGUGGGGGAUAGCCCGGCGAAAGCCGGAUUAAUACCGCAUACGACCUACGGGUGAAAGCGGGGGAUCGCAAGACCUCGCGCUAUUGGAGCGGCCGAUGGCAGAUUAGGUUGUUGGUGGGGUAAAAGCCUACCAAGCCGACGAUCUGUAGCUGGUCUGAGAGGACGACCAGCCACACUGGGACUGAGACACGGCCCAGACUCCUACGGGAGGCAGCAGUGGGGAAUUUUGGACAAUGGGCGCAAGCCUGAUCCAGCAAUGCCGCGUGCGGGAAGAAGGCCUUCGGGUUGUAAACCGCUUUUGUCAGGGAAGAAAUCUCUUGGGCU
rnacentral:rRNA from 1 species